GGGCUAUUAGCUCAGGUGGU
rnacentral:tRNA from 1 species